rnacentral:rRNA from 1 species
AUUGAACGCUGGCGGCAGGCCUAACACAUGCAAGUCGAGCGAGCGGCGGACGGGUGUGUAAUGUAUGGGGCUCUGCCUGAUGGCGGGGGAUAACUACUGGCAACGGUAGCUAAUACCGCAUACCAUCAGAUGAACCCCUAUGGGAUUAGCCUGUAGGUGAGGUAACGGCUCACCCAGGCGACGAUCCCUAGCUGGUCUGAGAGGCUGAUCAGACACACGGGAACUAAGACACGGCCCCGACUCCUACGGGAGGCAGCAGUUGGGAAUAUUGCACAAUGGGCGCAAGCCUGAUGCAGCCAUGACGCGUGUAUGAAGAAGGCCUAAGGGUUGUAAAGUACUUUCAGUCGGGAGGCGUUACCGACAGAAGAAGCACCGGCUAACUCCGUGCCAGCAGCCGCGGUAAUAC